GUUUUACACUUGAUCUCUGAACUUCAGGUAAGUUCAUAUGGACACUAUGUCAAUCCUGAUG
rnacentral:snoRNA from 1 species